CCCUCAAAUGACGGGAUGAAAAUGGCACUUUACCUCUGUCAUCCUGCUCCCCAAAACCCAAAAUCCAAGUCUCAUCAUGAGAGAAACAUCAGGCAAAUCCCAGUUGAGGAACAUUCUUCGAAACACCUGACCAGUACCCCUCACGAAUGUCAACGAAAACAAGGAAAGUCUGAGUAGCUGUCACAGCCUAGAGGAGCCUAAGGAGUGGAUAAAAUGGAGUCUGAAGGCCGGUGUCUGAAUAGAACCCUGCAUGGGACCUAUGUGACACUCUAGGGACAAAAAAAGCAGGAAUCUUCCAACCCCCAUGCCUAUAAGGAAAACUCUAAACAACUGAACAUAUUUCCAGAUAAAUAACAUUGUAGAAGUGGAGAACGCCUACAUUUCGCUGACUACAGAAGGUUACCUAUGUAAAAAGGACGUAAACCCUAUUUCUAAGCACAUUGUUCUUUCAAGACAUCCUGUUUUACAAAUGCUCUCUAAUCUGCUCCACUUCAUGUAACUCCCUGCAAGUUCAACUAUUGGCUGGAAUAUUAAAACGAAAAAAUUAUAACCAUAAAACUGUCACCAAAAUUCAUCUU